UACUGAGUAGCACUCGCAUAUCAAUAAGCGGAGGAAAAGAAACUAACAAGGAUUCCCCUAGUAACGGCGAGUGAAGCGGGAAGAGCUCAAAUUUGAAAUCUUAAAGGGUUUCCCUUUACGAAUUGUAGUUUAAAGAAGUGUUUUCUGUUGAGGUUUUGGUAAAAGUUCUUUGGAAUAGGACAUCAUAGAGGGUGAGAAUCCCGUAUUUGACCUUUACUUUCAACUUUGUGAUACACUUUCAAAGAGUCGGAUUGUUUGGGAAUGCAGUCCAAAAUGGGUGGUAAAUUUCAUCUAAAGCUAAAUAUUGGCGAGAGACCGAUAGCGAACAAGUACCGUGAGGGAAAGAUGAAAAGAACUUUGAAAAGAGAGUUAAACAGUACGUGAAAUUGUCAAAAGGGAAGCGUUUGACACCAGUGUUGUUUUUCUGAAAAUCAAUUAAAGAACUGUUUAUGCUAAGCUGUUUAGACUUUAUCAGCUAUCUGCUUUAGUUUUGAGCUUUUCUUUAAUGCACUUUUCAGUUAACAAGUCAACAUCAAUUUCUUUUGCUGUAAAAAAGCUUGAGGAAGGUGGCUUGAGAUUCGUCUUAAGUGUUUAUAGCCUCUUGCCUAUGCAGUCGGAGAGAUUGAGGUCUGCAGCGUAGAUCCUUCGGGGCUAAAUGCAUUUGUGCUAAGUUAUAGCAUUUUAUAGACAACUUGUUGACUAUGAUUUGUCUUGUAGCUUACUCGCUUAUGUUAUUUUACCUACGCUUAGGAUGUUGAACUCUAUCACACACAG
rnacentral:rRNA from 1 species